UAGCCGUAAACGAUACUCGCUAGGUGUCGGCCACGGUGCGACCGUUGUCGGUGCCGUAGGGAAGCCGUGAAGCGAGCCACCUGGGAAGUACGGCCGCAAGGCUGAAACUUAAAGGAAUUGGCGGGGGAGCACAACAACGGGUGGAGCUUGCGGUUUAAUUGGAUUCAACGCCGGAAAUCUCACCAGGGCGACAGCAGAAUGAUGGCCAGGUUGAUGACCUUGCUUGACAAGCUGAGAGGAGGUGCAUGGCGUAGUCGUGU
rnacentral:rRNA from 1 species